rnacentral:sRNA from 1 species
GCCGGGUGUGGUGGCACACACCUAUAAUCCCAGCUACUCGGGAGGCUGAGACAGGAGAAUUGCUUGAACCCGGGAGGCGGAGGUUGCAGUGAGCCGAGAUCGCACCACUGCCCUCCAGCCUGGGAGACAGAGAAGAGACUCCGUCUCAAAAAAAAGAAAAAAAAAUGAUAAAAUUAAGUUGGGUUUUCUUUUUUGAGAUGGAGUCUCACUCUGUCGCCCAGGCUGGAAUGCAGUGGUGUGAUCUUGGCUCACUGCAACCUCCGCCUCCCAGGUUCAAGCAAUUCUGUGUCA